AUGCUGCAACAGUAGUUUUUCACAGUUCUGAGGAAAUUGUCCAAAAAGACUUAAGUACGUGGCUUCCUGCAGUGGAGCUUUGGAUUAUGACGCUUAUAUCCCUCCAUUACAUUACCUGGACAGAGAUAUCAGAGAUACGGUUUAAUGCGAAUCAUAGUAUCACAGAAUAUCCCGAGUUGGAAGGGACCCUCAAGGACUGAGUACUGCUGCUGGAUCCACACAGGACCAUCCAAAAAUCAGGCCAUAUGACUGAGAGCGUUGUCCAAACACACCUUGAAGUCUGGCAGCCUGGUGCUGUGCCCACCUCUCUGGGCAGCCCGUUCCAUGCUCACCGCCCUCUGGUGCAGCCCCUGUCCCUGACCCCCAGCUGCCCCUCCCCUGACACAGCUCCAUGCCGUUCCCUCGGGCCCUGUCACUGUCACAGAGAGCAGAGCUCAGCGCUGCCCCUCCGCUCCCUGUGAGGAGCUGCAGCCGCCAUGAGGCCUCCCCUCAGCUCCUCUGCUCUGGGCUGAGGAAACCCAGGGGCCUCAGCUGCUCUUCGUAAGUCUUGCCCUCCACGCCCUUUGUAGGCCUCCUUUGGGCACUCUGUAGUAGUUUUAUGUCCGUUUCAUACUGUGACUCCCCACACUAACAGCAACUGAGAAAACACUAACAUUUAGCAAGAUGAUUGCUAGUGUUUCUAUUCUCCGCCUCCACUGUCAGCAUUGAGCCCGAGCCUUUGGUUUCUAGGAAACAUCAUGUAAUUUCCACCUGCAACAGACAUUACUUCUCAGAUCAAGCAGGAUUUCACAUCAAGUAUUAGCUAAAGCUUAGGAAAACUAAGGCUCCAAAACCACUCCUUCUAAAUGGGGUGGACUUCCUAAGCGGAGUGGGUGGCUUAGCAAAUGCUGCCAGGUUUAGGUUUGUAAAUGCUCUUCCCCAUGCUCUUCCUCCAAUCGGGAUUUUUGCAAAGAGCUCAUCUGAGGAAGAGGGAAACACCCCCAGAACUUCAAAAAGGGUACACAGGCAUCCUGCAGGUAAAAAUAAGACAUAAUCAGCAUUCCCGUCUAUCCGAAGUUCCAAAUAGCUAAACAAUCCAAGCAAGUAAUUGGAUUUAUUUACUUUUCCUUCUAGAAACCUACUCUUUUGUCCUGACCAGAUUUUCUUUUUAACAACACUGGCAAUCUCUUCAGUACGUGAAAUUUUUCCCUAGGUUAAAUCAUUGAGUGUGGGAGGGACACUCAACACUCACUGAAUCUUCAUUCUAAUUUUACUAUUAGACAUAAACCUCAUUAAAUCUCAGCCUCAGAACUGUUUGUAAAGGAAAUGGCUUGUAAACCUUAACGAGGCAAACUGUGGGGGCUCAGUGCUAUCGUCAUUCCAAAAACUUGUAUUUUUUUCAAAGGAAGUUUUGUCUGCAUGAAGACAGGUAGGAUCUGCUCUGGAUAUUUUAAUUUCCUGCCUUGUUAAUUUCCAGCAGUAAAUUUUGAUGAGAUGGUGAUAAAUAGAUACAAUAUAAGGCUAUUUGCUUUAAGAUGGCAAUCUUUAUUUCUUUGUUUUUAUUGCAAAAUUUCUAAAUACCAACACUUAACUCCAGUGACAUUAACUGGUAUCUAUUCUAGAAAAAAGGUUUGAGGCUGUCCUCUUACAGAAGCCAUGUAAACAGUUUCUUUCUGUUCAACUGAAAGCAU
ensembl:lncRNA